AUCUUCCUCCUCCCUUAACAGGAAUUGGGAGUGAAGGAUUAAUUGUAUUAAUCCAGACUCAAGGACUAUGAUGAGUUAGGAAAGAAAAAUGGGUUUGAAAAGGACAUUGAUAGAUGCCAUAGUCUGCCUCCUGCACAGAGCACACACUGAGUGGACUAGGUUAUAGCAGUUUGGAAAAGGGCCUUGUUUGUGUGGUUGCUCUCUCUUCUUUCCCUUGUGGGCAACUCACUCACUUUGGAAGAAUGGCAUAACUUGCAGUGGAGAAGAAGAGCCUCUGCUUGGAUGAACUCUGCAAAGGAUUUUGGAAACUGUCCAGAGAUGGAGCAGUCAGUUGUACAUGAGAGGCUCUUUGUCCUGCUCAGCAGCACAGAAGUCAUGCAACUGAUGCAUGUUGCUGUGCUGUCAUCUAGUGGCAAGGAUGAAUUAGACGUCAUUCAGUGAAAGUGGCUGACUAGGUGUCCCU
rnacentral:lncRNA from 1 species